CUCGGGAUUGGAGGGGUCCCUCAGCCCAGAUUGCGAGAGGGCACAGGCCAGGCCGAGGGACUCCACCGGUGCACG
rfam:Myotis lucifugus cont2.45719, whole genome shotgun sequence.